rnacentral:ribozyme from 1 species
UGCCCAAAAACUCCUGUCCCUACCUCCGCGUGGCAUCGGCCGGAAUGCGAGCAACUUUAGUGAAAGAUCGGGUAACUUUGGUCGUAGGCAGACAGGGAAGG